AUGGUUCAUUCACAGUCUAAAAAAUAAAAAAGGCAAUUUCUAUUUUCCAAAAAAUAAAAAACCAGUGUGUUUAAUUACAAAUGUUUGCAAUAUCAAGCAGCAUAACAGACUGUUUUUGUACAGCUAAAAUAAUUGGAAUGACACCUGAAGCCCCACAUGAUUUUGUCUUACCUGGUAAACAGUUGUGGGCAGUUAUCUAUAUGCCAUAAUCUAUACUUAAAAAUGUCAGGAAAACUUGCAUCAUUCAAAAACUUUUUAUUCCUUUUAGAGAUUUUCCAAAAAGUUUCCAAAUGAAAGUUGCUCACAUUUGCAUUUGAGUUUAAAAGUGAAACACAGUGUAUUUCAUGUCUUACAUUUUCCUUCUUGCAGUCCUUUAGAUAUUAUUGAGAAACCUUAAGAACCCAUCCGGGAUGAAGUGGAACACUUGUGGCCUCCUGCUCAUUUUACCUGCCCUCUUCAGCAUAUCUGGAGUAAGCCUGGAAAAAUGUAAAAUGAAAGAUAACAAACCUCCUUGUAUUACUGGCAUGAUGCAAAAACUCCAAAAUCAGGCUGGAAAUUAUAUGGAGAUGGAUAUGUUUAUACUGGGUGAAGAUGGUUUCAUGGGAUACAUUAAAACAGGUGAAUGCAUUAAUGGUCAAUGGAACACAACAAAGAGCCAGUCUACUAUUCUGUGCAAUUCUAGUGGACCAUCAGUAACGACAAAACCAAUCAACAUGACUGUUUUUUCGUUUGAAGAAAAUACGACUUGUACAGAAAGCAUGUGUAAAACAAACAGCAGUGACUAUGGUGUGAUUUUCUCAAGAUACUCACCAUACAAACUCAGCAUAAACAGAAAUGUUAUACCCACAUUUGUCUGUUUAAUUGAAGGGAAUUGCACAAAUAAUACUUUGACAAACUGGAUUAAAGAAGGAUGUAACUGGACCAAACAAACCCUUCAAAAUUUUAACUACACAAAAUGUAAUAUGACCUGCCUGAAUGUGACAAAGAUAUGUGAGACUGCACAAUAUGAUUCCAGCUGUAGGGAUGAUAAUUCAGGUGAUGAAGGUAAAAUAAACAAAAUUCAGAUCCAUGAUAACACUGCAACUUGUUAUAAGUGUGGAAGUCCUUUUCAAGAUGUGAAAGAAGUCCCCAUACCCAAUGAAAUGUCAAAACAAUUUGAUACUAAUAAAACGGAAAUAGAUGCUGGGAAAGCUGCUGGGGCCAUGAAAAAUCUCUCCAGUCUUCUGUCUUUGAUGGAGAAUUUGACCGUUGCCUCUAUAUCCAUGGGUAAUGUUAAAGGGGUUUUAAAGAAAAUUCAAACUGAGUCCGAAAUCAAGACGUCCUACUUCAUCUACUCUUCAAAUACUAGCAUCAGAAUUUUAGAAGAUGUUUCCGUACUGAAGAAUUAUUCCAACACUUUCAGUAUUCCAGCGGAAGCAGCUAAGAAAGCGCUCAACCAAAGUGCAGGAAGCGCUUUUUUGGGCGUUUUCCGCUUUCCCAACAUGUCAAAGGAUGCAGAGAAUAGUACGGUUUUGAAUGAUGAGGUUUAUGCAAUCGAAAUGGGGACAAAAAUUUCAAAUCUGAGUGAAAACAUCAGCUUGACAUUCGAAUAUCAGCAGGAGAAAGAGAAAAUUCCUGUUUGUCACUCAUGGGAUGGAAGCGGAAAUAGGCCAAACUGGACAACCGAAGGGUGCAGUACCCUUGAAGGAAUAAACAAUGUAACAUGUCAAUGCAAACAUUUGACUUUCUUCGCUGUGCUUAUGGUGGGUUCUCCUGUUUCCUUCUGGAAUCUGUGA
ensembl:lncRNA